rnacentral:lncRNA from 1 species
UAGAGGCAUUGUGUUUAGCUAUCGCUAGGCGAAUGGGAAUCAGUGCAGCUGUUGCUCUGUUGUUAGCCAGUGCUAAGUGAGCGCUGGAGCUACAGGGAGGGCUGGAGCUGUGUGGGGUGGUGUGGAGGACCUGCUCCACUGACUGCUCAGACAGAAAUAGCACAUGAGCGAGCGUGUCCAUUUCCACUGGCUGCCACUCAACACCAGCCCCACGCAGAGCCGCGUACGCGACAGGCUAACCUUGCGCGCUAACCUCGCACGCUAGCCUCGCUAGCCUCCUCCUGCUUCAAAGCAGCUGCUGCAGCAGGCCUUUCGCUUUCUCAAAACUGGCCAACCGAUGAGAAGAGACUGCUCCCGGUAACCGUGGGAAACUAUCUAUCUCGGAAUACUCUUCAAUGCCCCCCAUUCCACCAUGGAACCCUGCACAAGAAUGAAAAGGGAGGCGAUGAGGUAGUGGUCUGCUGAGCUCUUAACAGUCUGACCGAAGAGCACACGUGUGUGUGUGUGUGUGUGUGUGUGUGUGUGUGUCCUCUCCAGCCUCUCGCUCUGUGAGUGAGUUCGGUGUGUGUGACCAUGAGCUGCCUGGACAAGCGGAGUGUGUGUCUGCGCGUGACACACCACCACCGGAACCUGACCAGCUCGUGCGAGAGCCUGACGGACGAGGCCGAUCGCGAGGUCAGCACGCUGACGGACCGCGCCUUCCACUCGCUCUGCAUCGGCGACGAGGCCGUCUACAACGACGCCGAGUUCCUCACGCCGUCGCCCAGCAGCUGCCUGCUCAAGCCGCUGGCGGACGAGCACGCACGGAAGGUUCUGGAGAAUGCCCCGAGCCUCGUCAACAAGAAACUCGGCUCCAACGGCGCCGCCACCGUCGCCUGGCAGCACAAGGAUGUGUCGUCUCUCCUGUCCGCCUUCACAGCCGGGAAGAAUGGCGGCGCCGCCGCUAGAAUCCCGAACGGAACGCCGGCUGGGAAUAACGCGGAGUCGUGGGAUAAAUCGGCUCUGCUGAGCAUCCAGAGGGAGCUGGCAGAGUUCUCCAGCGACUUCUACAGGAGCCUGGCCGACGGCAGCUUCGCCGACGCCACCGGGAAGCAUAAAGGCGGAUCCACCGCCGAGAAAAAAUCCUGCAAGGAAACGUCCGGCAAGGAUGCCACCGCUUGCGCUUCCUCGGGGGGGAAGUCCUCCAAGUCCAAACACAGCAGCAGGUCCAGCAAGCUGAAGAAGCUGAACUCCCGCAACUUCUUCCUGCACAGCGAGUUCAGCCCGUUCCAGGCGUGGGAGGACCUACACCAGUUCCCCUUCGGACAGGAGAACAUUUCCGACCUGCUGCCGCCCCCCCACAGCUUCCCCCGCUGGGGCGACACCACCACUCUCUACAGACACCUCACUGCCGCACACACACUCAGUCCUGCCGCACACACACUCAGUCCUGCAGCACACACACUCAGUCCUGCAGCACACACACUCAGUCCUGCAGCACACACACUUGACCUUGCACACAGAUCAGGAGCCUUGCGGGGCCCAGAGGCAGUGCAGAGGACGGAGAGGUCACACAAAACUGAAACUGCACAGAGAUCAAAACACACUCAGAUACUCGACACAGCACAGGGCACUGAAAAUGUACAAAUAACUGCAACUGUGCAAAGGGCUGAAAGUGGACAAAAGACUGAGACCGCACAGAGAUUUGACACUGUGCAAAGAAUUGAAAGUGCACAGAGAAUUGACACUGUGCAAAGAAUUGAAAGUGCACAGAGAAUUAACACUGUGCAAAGAAUUGAAAGUGCACAGACAACUGCGACUGCACAGAGGGUGGACGAGUCAAAGAGAGCAGCGCGCCUGCGGGGGGGGGAGGGGGCUGAGCCGCUGCCCAAACCUGCAGGGGUGGAGGGGGGGCCGCCGGCUGCGGUACAGACUCCCUCUCUGGUGCCAAACCCUGCUGCCUUGGAGCAGCGCCGCCCCUCGGCAGACAGCGCGGAGUGUAGCGCCCCCUGGAGGCGAAACAGGAGCAGGGCGAGGAGCGCUGCCCCCGGUGGCCAAAGGGAGAAGAGCUCCCCCGCCACCGAGCCGCCCAGGAGACAGGAAGUGAGACAGGAAAUGAGAGAGGAAGUGAGACGCAUGGAGGAGCAGAGCUCCCCCGCCACCGAGGCCGGGCCGCCCAGGAGACAGGAAGUGAGACAGGAAGUGAGACAGGAAGUGAGACGCAUGGAGGAGCAGAGCUCCGCCAGCUCCACGCCGUUCAACAUCACACACCUGCUCACGCCCGUCAUCCUCUGUCGCCAGGAUACGGAGAGCUUGGAGCCCGCCCUCUUCUCGCCCGUGACCCUUGACCUCCCCGUUGCUGCAGUGCCCGAGCCCUCGCCCGAGACGAAGACGAAGGCGCGCGAGAGCUACCGGUCCAUGGCCACCAGCCUGCUCUUCAACCUCAAGGACAACAGGAAGAGAGUCAAGGCCAUGUACAGCCCGCCCAAGUUCAGACCCACCAGAGACCCACCUGCCCACCAGAGCAAGCCGGAGGGCACAGACAUGUCCGCGUGCACAGCUGCCCACCAGAGCAAGCCAGAUGGCACAGACAUGUCCGCGCGCACAGCGGACGGGCGACACCAGGACACGCGGGGGACAGAUCAGCUCUGCGUUCCCAACAGCGUUCCCAACAGCGUCGUCGCGCAGGGAGGCUCCCCCCAGGAGGCCCUGAGCAGGAGUCCUGUUGUGGUGAACACGUCUGGAUACCCGUGUCGGAAUCUGUACGCUACUGCUGAGGUUGCCACGGAGACUCAGGAACAGAACAGGCGUGGCCACGUCAAGGAGACCCCCAAGAGAUCGGUCAAGGACCGAGUCAAAGAGCUGCAGAGGCAGAACGCCGCGACUGUGAGUAAGGACCCCGGAAAGAGAGGCAAAGAAAUACCACCUGUGUGUCCUACUACUGGCCUCCAGGCCAUAGAUGGUGCUGUGGAUAAAGAAGGAGACAGAGAUACAUUAAAAGAGGAGAGACGACUGCCUGAUUUACCAGAGAAACCAUCUGAGAAACCCAAACCAGCCAAACAACCCCCUCCUGUAGCAGCCAGAGUCAAACUCUCUUCAUCACCCAGAGAGACACACUCCAUCUCCAACACUAAACACUCUUCACCCAGAGAGACACACUCCAUCUCCAACACUAAACACUCUUCACCCAGAGAGACAGACUCUAGCUGUGACGCUAAACACGCCUUCUCUGCUCGGCAGAACAACUACAUCAAAAGCCAGAGGAGCGCCUUCGUGGGGGAGCAGGAGGAGGAGUGUGAGGAGUGGGACGAGCUCAGAGAGGAGGCUCUGCUGAAGGAGGUGAAGGCUGAGCUUCAGGAGCAGCAGCGGGCAGAGAGAACUAAGGCUGAGCUUCAGGAGCAGCAGCGGGCAGAGAGAACUAAGGCUGCGCUUCAGGAGCAGCAGCGGGCAGAGCAGCGGGCAGAGAGAGCUAAGGCUGAGCUCCAGGCUCGUCAGGAGCAGCAGCGGGCAGAGAGAACUAACGCUGAGCUUCAGGAGCAGCGGGCAGAGAGAGCUAAGGCUGAGCUCCAGGCUCGUCAGGAGCAGCAGCGGGCAGAGAGAACUAACGCUGAGCUUCAGGAGCAGCGGGCAGAGAGAGCUAAGGCUGAGCUUCAGGAGCAGCAGCGGGCAGAGAGAGCUAAGACUGAGCUUCAGGAGCAGCAGCGGGCAGAGAGAACUAAGGCUGAGCUCCAGGACCAGCAGCGGGCAGAGAGAACUAAGGCUGAGCUUCAGGAGCAGCAGCAGCGGGCAGAGAGAACUAAGGCUGAGCUUCAGGAGCAGCAGCGGGCAGAGAGAACUAAGGCUGCGGACCACCAGCGCGCGGGACUCCGCUCCGCUCCGAAAGAGUCUCCGAUGCCCCCCCGGGACGACGUACCAGCGCCAAAUGAGAGCCCAAGGCGUGAAAAUAACAUUCUGUUACCCUCGCCCUUGCCUGACGGGCGCACCCAAAAGGGCAUCGUACCCCUCAGAGGCAACACACUGGCCAAGCGAGACCUGUUCGCCAACAUGCACCCGCAGCCACCGGGCAGACACGCCACGAGGCAGAACGCCACGCUCGACAAAUACGACCUGGCCAAGAUGGCGCUGGAGGAGGUCAUAGCGGAGAGAGAGGAGAGGAAGAGGAGAGGUCAGGGGUCAUCGGAACACAAGCAGCAGGGAGGUGUAGAGGACCGUCAGGAGAACAGAACCGUGGUCUCACAGCAGAGAGAGAGAGAACCGAGCAGGGUUCUGAGGGACAGAAGGGAGAACAGACAGGAUAUUUCUGUGCGCGGCGACCAGACGAUGCACUCUGACCAGCAGGCCGAGAGCACUAAAGGACCUGUGGCCCCUCGAGGGCAAUUAGCCAAGGGUGUUCAUCAACAAGACCCCACGCCCCCCACCAAACAGAUCAAACACAACAGAGAAGGAAAGUCAGGCGAGAGGGGGAGGGUGGGUGGCGCUGAUGAGACUGGCAGGGGGAGGGGGGGUGGCGCUGAUGAGACUGGCGGGGGGAGGGGGGGCACUCAGUCUUACCCACCGUCGGAGAGGGACAGGGAGGGGGAGAGGGUGAAGAGGCAGGAGAGCUCAGAGAGAGAGGGAACAGGUUACAGCAGGAGCGAGAAGGCUGGUAGGGAACGUGGCCGUCAGAGCACAAGAUCGCCACCUGCUGUUCCUCCCAGGAAAGGCAAAGCUGGCACGAGGGAGGAGGACAGGACUGGCACGAGGGGUGAGGGCAAAGCUGGCACGAGGGAUGAGGACAGGAGUGGCACGAGGGGUGAGGACAGGACUGGCACGAGGGGUGAGGGCAGGACAGCAGAGGAAGACUAUGCAGAGCAGGAAGCAGGAAGCACUAAAGACGAGGGGAGGGAACAUGUGCAUGGAGACAGGAAGACUGAACAGAAGGGACAAGAUGAAACUCAAAACAACAACAAGCACUUAGAGAUGAGCAAACAUAACAAACAUGAAGCCCACUUAGAGAUGAGCAAAGAUAACAAACAGAAUAACUCUACUGAGGACUCUGCUAAGACUAGUACACAAGAGUCCUGGACAAAGACAGUCACCUACACAGAGAAAGAGUCACAGAAAGCUGAGAAUAAGACUCAUGAAAGAGAUACGCUGCACAAAACAAAGAUAAAACCAGAGAUAAACUCAAAACAGUUCGAGACAGCGCAGAAGCAAACCCCUAAGGGGCAGGAAUGUCCUGGUUCUCCAGAGGUGCAGGAAGUGAUUCGCGGGUCGUCUCUUGGGGAAGAGAAGAGUGAGAAGGAGGAGGAGGCGAAGGAGAGAGACAGCGAGGUGUCCGCUCAGAAGGGUCAGAGGGCGAAGCAGAGGCAGAGUUAUGUGAAAGACUUCUUAAGCCUGCUGGGGCUGUCCGGCGAAGAGAAGGCCACAGCUGACCACGAGGCAGCUACCGAGAGGAACAGCAGCGAACACCAACCUGCGUCCCCUGAACUCCACAACACACACACACCUGUGGGGGACAGCGUAACCAUUCACGACAUCCUGAAGCACAGGUCCCCCCCCGUGUACAGUCCACUGCAGUCCCCCGUGAGGUCCCCCUCUUCAUACAGCCAUAACUUAUCUCAGAAGCACUCAACAGAACAGGAGUGCAGCGUUAAGUUGGAGCAGAGAGGAGCAGAUGUUAGCAAGCCAAAGGAGGACUUGGUGAAGCCAAAGGAGGACUUGGUGAAGCCAAAGGAGGACUCGGUGAAGCCUGAGUUAGACUACUGCACCUUCGGUGACCCAGGAAGUGAAUCAGAUGCUUCGGAGCGGCAGAUUGUGUCUCCUCUCAGUGACCUGGACCACGCCGGAUGGCUCCGCGGUCUGAUCGAACACGCCCAGAGCCUCACCCCGAAAGACCUGACACCCGUCAGCUUGACCCCCAGCCAGUCCAAUGCCUCCUCACCCACCCCGGCCACCAAGCCAGUGCUGUUCAAGGUGAAGGACAACACGUUCGCCUCCUCCUCCACCUCCUCCACCUCCUCCCCCGUCACCAAGACGGUCCGGCCCGUCCUGCACAAGUCCGUCCAGGACAUGAUCACAAAGCCCUGGUCCCCCCCGCAGGACAGCCUGAGCGGCUCAAAGCCCUGGUCCCCGCAGGAGAACCCGAGCGGGUCAAAGCCCUGGUCCCCCCCGCAGGAGAGUCUGAGCGGGUCAAAGCCCUGGUCCCCGCGCGAGAGCCUGAGCGGGUCCGAGAGGGGCGAGGAGGAGCCGGACCGCCCCAGGGAGGCACUGCGGAUCCCCAUCUUGGUGGAGACGGCCAGCUCCCCACUCCCAGAGAGCUCCCACUCCACACCUGCAGAGGGCGCCGCUGCCCCUCUGCCCCCCUCACCCUCCCGGCCGCCCCCCUCACCCUCCCGGCUGCCCCAGGGGCAGAUGCUGGAGGUGCCGGAGGAGGGGGGGCGGGGCUCUGUCUCGAGUAGCCUAUCGGAGGGCGUGAGAAGCAACGACACGAGCGUGGGUGACGAGACGGGGCUGGGCGCGGCACAGACCGACGACCCAGAGGGCGAGAGGUGCGAGUCGGAGUCGGUCUGCAGUGGCACAGAGGGCACAGAGGGUCUGAGCAGGAAGCCCCCGCCCGCCGUCUUGCCCAAAAGUGAGAAGGCACUGAGACGGGCCAAGAGGCUGACCACCCGCCGCAUCCAGAAGGCAGAGGUGAAGGGCCGCAAAACGGACCGCAAGAACCGCAGUGCAGAGAAGCCGGAACCCGACAAGAAGAACCACAGCGGAGAGAAGGUAGAGCUCGACCUGAAGAACUGGAUCCAGAACAAUCCAGGGACUGACCAGGAGCACCAGGGCAGAGAGAGAACAGAGUCAGAGCACAAUCACCACAGCAGUGAUCACCAUAGCAACAGGCACAUUCACCACAGCAGUGAUCACCAUAGCGACAGGCACAUUUACCACAGCAGCAGCAGCGAGAAACAACAGGACAAAUCGAAAAACAGUGAUCACCAUAGCAACAUGCCCUCGAGCCACAGCGGUCCCCAUGACCACGACCGCAAAGGCAGGAGCGGCGAGAAACACGCGCGCGUCAAACAUGCGAGCUACAGCAGCGACAGGCACAUCGGCAACCAUAGAGACCUGAGGAGCCAUGGCAACGGGAGAGACUCUGCUGAGCAGGUGUCCGAGCAGCAUCAGCAUCAGCAUCAGCACCAGCACCAGCAGGUUUACCUGAUGGAGAGUCCCAGUGAUAUCGGUUGCCGUGGCGACCGGAGGAGCAGGAGUCUGGAGCGAGACCUCCAGCCCCGCCCCAGCCAGCACCGGCGCCAGUCACGUGACCACAACCACGCAGGAAGUGACAUCAAAUCAGCCCAGUCACGUGACCUCAACCACGCAGGAAGUGACAUCACAUCAGCCCAGUCGUCCAGAGGUUCAUCCCGCCGCACCUCCCUCAACGGCCUCCUUGUGCGUCAGAACAGCUCCGAGCACACGUACCCCCCCCAGACCACACGUACCCCCCCACGACCUCUAACCUGGUGCCCCAGUCCUUCCCCAUGACCCAGCGGAAGCUGCUGCAGGAUCCCGACUCGGGCCAGUACUUUGUGGUGGACAUGCCAGUGCAGGUCAAGACCAAGACCUUCUUCGACCCGGAGACCGGCAGCUACGUGCACCUCCCUGUGCAGUCAGCAGAGGGCGCUCUGCCAGCAGGGCCGGGUCCCGUCUCUAUGGAGAUGCUGAACCCGUCCAUGGUGGUGUACCACGGGUUCGUGCCGGUGCCUGUGUCGUCCUCUCUGCCCCAGCAUAAAGCCAAUGCUCCCUCUGGUGAGGGCAUGGAGGUGGUGAUGGAGAACAGUGCCCCCCAGUGGCAAGAGGACUGUACUCACAAACGCAGUAGAAAUGAACAUCCUUACAUAGAGCCAGCGUAUGUGUUGAAGGAGCACACUCCUGAGGAGGAGCUGGACAGCAUGAGAUGAGAGAGGAGGAGGAGGAGGAGGAGGAAGAGGAGGAGGAGGACAGCAUGAGAUGAGAGAGGAGGAGGAGGAGGAGGAGGAGGAGGAGUGGUAGAAUGAUAAUACGGACAGUGUGGAGUUCAAAUGAGCUUAAGAUUGAAAGCUUUUGAAUUCAGGGAUUGCCAGUUGUUUUUGAUAUGCACUCUGUAAUGGUUUUACUCAAGGAGUGGUUGAAGACGUGUAAAUAUGCUGUGUGUUUGAAUAGACACUAAGAGACUGUAAAUCUUUCUGUGAAUGAAGGGCAGUGUCUGUUUCUACACUCUCAGGCCUUGCUGUUUUUUUAAAUGAUGAAGAAUGUAAAAAUAGCUUUUGCUAUAUUUUUGUACUUUUGCCUUGAUCUCAGUGACUGAACACCCGUGUGAUUUGUAAUGCUUUAUUUGAAACCUAUUCUAAACACAGACGUGAUGACUAAUGUCUGUUUUCAAAUGUAUUCUGAACACGAAUCACGUGAUUGGUAAUGUCUGUUUUAAAACGUAUUCUCUACAAUUGCUGACACGUUUUGAGUGUUGAUGUGAAGAUUACUUUUUGAAGAGAGUUGUGUGGCCAUCGCUUUACUACUGACGUGUAGGCAUGGAGAGUAACGUCAAGGUGGCCCGAACCGUACACUUUGUUUAGGACGUGAUUUUCUGAGACAGCUUUUGGAAGACGCAUAUUUUGGAAUUAAGUAGUAUUCAUGGUGAAACGGAGAUGAGUCGGCUUCAUAUGUAAACCAUUCCAAUAAAAUACUUGCCAUGCCAGCUAAUGCCUCA